GUGAAUUUUUUCGCACAAAAGUGAAGCGGGACUUCACUUGCACUAUCCCGCCCCUUUUUUCACUAAGUCACAAACCCAGCUCGCGCAUCUCCUCUCUCUGUUUAUUCACACACCCAGCUAGCUCGCCCAUCUCUCUCACCUCACCUCCGGCAUCGAUCUCAUCUCCGGUCUCUCAGCUCUCUAUCAUCUCCCUCUAGUCUCUCUCAUCAACUGCUUUUUUAAUUGGUUGGUGUAGAGUUCAAUUUAGGGCUCUGUUUGAAGGAACGAGGCUUUCAUACUCUAAUUAGGGCUUUGGUUCUUCAAAUAGAGGCUUGGUUUCUUCAUUUUAUUUACAUUUACAGCGGUUUCUUCACUUAAAUCACAUCCACUCAAACUAUGUGGGUGUUUGGGAGCAGGUGCUUCUGGGCUUAAAAGCCUGGAAGCCCGUUCCUCUUGUGUUGAUGUCUGUUUGGCAAAUUUUUUAAAACACUUAAUUGAGGAGAGAAAAGCUCAGAAAAGAAGUUGCAUAACGUAGUUUUUAUUUGGCGUUAGCUUUUUUCCAUCAGCUCCUUUGAUGAUACAUGUUAUUCUGGUUAUGUGAUUGAGAGCUUAACGUGGGCUUCUUCACUUCGAGGUGCAUUCAUAGGCUUGAUUAACUUUGGAACUUAAAGUUUGGUGGAUUUGGGCAUUUCUUUGGUGUGAGCUUAGUUCAGAUUUUGGUGCUUGAAAUUCAGAGUACCGAUGAUUUUGCCAAAAAGAGGAACAUAUUAGCAUCUAGCUGAAGAACUUGUAGGAGGUGUACGAAGAGAUUAAUGUACUGAGCCCACCAGCAGCUGCUAAUACCAUUAACAGAACUCCCAGUACUAUGAAAGUCUAGAAAUAAGAAUCAGGAUCUUGCUGUAUUAGCUAAAGAUAGUCACAAAGAGUAAAGUUAUAGUUGGAAAGCCAAGAUCAUAUGAAAUGCAUACCCAAUUCAUCCACCACGAUAUGCUGAAUCUUCGGGGUUUAACGAGGUUGAGCCAAAUGAUGCACGGGAG